rnacentral:rRNA from 1 species
AAGGGAGAGGACAACAUGGGAAUCUGCCCGGGGGUCGGGGAUAGCUACGGGAAACUGUAGGUAAUACCCGAUAAUGUUUACGGACCAAAGGUUUACUGCCCCUGGAUGAGCCCAUGCCCCAUUAGCUUGUUGGCGGCGUAAUAGACCACCAAGGCGAUGAUGGGUAGCUGGUGUGAGAGCACGACCAGCCUCACUGGCACUGAGACACUGGCCAGACACCUACGGGUGGCUGCAGUCGAGAAUCUUCGGCAAUGGACGAAAGUCUGACCGAGCGACGCCGCGUGCGGGAUGAAGGCCUUCGGGUUGUAAACCGCUGUCGAGGGGGAUUAAGGGCAACUUGAAUGAACCCUGGAGGAAGGAGAGGCUAAGCUCGUGCCAGCAGCCGCGGUAAGACGAGCUCUCCAAACGUUAUUCGGUAUCACUGGGCUUAAAGAGUUCGUAGGCGGCUUUGUAGGUGGGGUGUGAAAGCCCUCGGCUCAACCGAGGAAUUGCGCCCCAAACCGCAGGGCUUGAGGGAUAUAGGGGUAAGCGGAACAGAUGGUGGAGCGGUGAAAUGCAUUGA